GGCUUUGCGUCUAGUCCGGCGUCGCAGACCGGUUUCGCCAUGUCUCUUCCUCAAACGUAUAUGUUACAGAAUUGGAUGGCUGAAUUUGAACAGAUCCUUCGGGAAUUGAGACUUCAGGUCAACUCCACGCGCUUGGACCUGUCGCUGACCAAAGGAUUACCCAAUUGGAUCUCCUCAGCAUUUUCCUUCUUUAAAAAAUGGGUGGGAUUAAUAUUAUUUGGAGAUACACUUUGCUGUGGAUUAGUGUUGCUUCUUUGAUUGGUCUGUAAGCUUAAGGCCCAAACUAGGAGAGACAAGGUGGUUAUUGCCCAGGCGCUUGCAGGACUAGAACAUGGAGCUUCCCCUGAUAUAUCUAUGCUUAGGCAAUAGGUCGCUGGCCACUCAGCUCUUAUAUCCCAUGAGGCUAGUCUCAUUGCACGGGAUAGAGUGAGUGUGCUUCAGCAGCCCGAGAGAGUUGCACGGCUAAGCACUGCAAUGGAAAGGCUCUGCGGCAUAUAUGAGCCUAUUCUAGGGAGACAUGUCAUCUUUCAUGAAGGUUCAGUGUCCUAGUUCCCUUCCCCCAGGCAAAACGACACGGGAGCAGGUCAGGGUUGCUCUGGGUAAAAGCCUGUGAGCCUAAGAGCUAAUCCUGUACAUGGCUCCUUUACCUACACACUGGGGAUUUGACCUCUAUCUCCACUCUCAUUAAUAUGGGUGGCCUAUUUGCUCUUAUUAAAAGGAAAGGGGGAGAUGUUGGGAGCCGCGCCCACAUUCGCCGUUACAAGAUGGCGCUGACAGCUGUGUUCUAAGUGGUAAACAAAUAAUCUGCGCAUGUGCCGAGGGUGGUUCUUCACUCCAUGUGCUCUGCCUUCCCCGUGACGUCAACUCGGCCGAUGGGCUGCAGCCAAUCAGGGAGUGACACGUCCUAGGCGAGGGAUAACUCUCCUAAAAUAGGGACGGGGUUUCGUUUUCUCUCUCUCUUGCUUCUUGCACUCUGGCUCCUGAAGAUGUAAGCAAUAAAGUUUUGCCGCAGAAGA
rnacentral:lncRNA from 1 species